rnacentral:lncRNA from 1 species
AUAUACACAUAAAAUAAAAUAUAUAUAAUUAUAUAUAUAUAUAUAUAUACACAAAAAUAUUAUAACACACGGAUACUUGUACUUCUUCUCUAUCUAAUCUCUCUUUCUCUUUCAUUCAGUGCUGUGCCAUUUUUAUUUUUUAAUUUUUAAAUGUGUUUUAAGCAGUGACGCCUCUGCCCUUAUUUAUAUAGAUUUUUAAUUUUUAAACUAACCCCGUUACCGACCCUAGUCAAGUUGUUAACCCACACACACAAUUUUCUUUUCCGCAUUCGCUAUAGUAGAUCUGAACUUUUUCCUCCACUUUGGACCUCUUAAACCGGAAGUAGAAUACAGUACAUGUAAAGGGAAUUUGUUUAUUUGUUUUGUCCCGAUCAUGUUUUGCUUCAUUGAUAUUGUAUCACCAGACGUUGUCAUUGCAAAGUUGUGCUCAAAUAAAUAAAUAAAUAAAUAAAAAGUUUUAUACGUUUACUCUCCGUAUCUUGUUUGCCUGCUUUUUAAAAAAAAAAAAAACACUGAUACACACUCAAACACACGCCGAAUCAAUUACGAAAAAUUUGUAACAGAGUAAAAUACGCUUAGAUGAGAAGGAGUGCUCUCGUCUCUCUCUCUCUCUUUCUCCCGUGUGUCGGAUGUCAUUGACAAAAUUAAUUUCUAGGAAUUUUUCUUUGAAAGUCGGUAUUUAUAUAAGAGGAGACGCGGUUUUGUGUAACGCGGUUGUUUGUUUCUGUUCGUGAUUUAAAUAUGAGAUGACAAGUGACGAUAAUUGAGGAUAACAGAGACCUUUCAACCACGCUGGUAGAGAACUCUGCGGGGAGAAACACGAAAAGUCCAUCAGCCCCGAGGCACUAUCCACCUCAUCUGUAAUCUCCAUUCGUCUUGGUAAAAUAACGCAUCUUUUGUUUCUAACAAUAAUUAUAAAUCUAUAUAUAACUCGAUAGGUAAACUAUAUAUUGCUAGUUAAAAGAACACAACCUGGUACGUGUCGAGAUCUUUUGUGUUUUAAGUGCUUUUAUGCCUUCUGGUUUGUUUAAAAAGAGAAGAGAGAGAGGAUUUGCUGGAAAUUACUAUCUGGGGAUGUUAUCGAUCACCAGAAAGAAGAAAAAAAAAGCGUGGACAACUAAAAACUUGUUAAAUUUUCCAAGCAAAACUCGCGGCAUUGACUACAAACUAUUGAAAAUCCUAGUCUAUUGUCUAGUGUCGCUACACAGAUAUGAAAGUUUUGCUAGCCCGAGGGGGUAAUGCGAGGUGCUGCGCGUUAUUACAACCAUAUUUAUCUUUGACGUAAGGCUUCGGGCGCAGAUUAGUGUGCACAAUCCACCCGUCUACACAAUAUUCUCCGUUAUUUCAUGAGAAGCGAACAGGUCUGACCACAACGCCUCCCUUUCAGUCACUCGCGGUCACGUUUUCGAGUCCGGACUCUUUUGUUUUAACCGCAACUCGACUACAACUGGACAUUACCAAAACCACCCACACCCUCCAUUCUAUUCAAUGAACCGUAAAUAUACAUGACAAAGACUAAACACUGCAUACAACAGUGUGAUUGUCGCAUUUGACGUUGAAAGACACACGCAGAGACCCCUUUCAUGGCAGCAAAGCGAAUAUUAUUACACGUCUUACACAGGUAAAAAAUUCUAAAGCACCUUUUAUCAUUUUUUUAGGGUGAAAAUUUUAUGUAAAUUUUCUUUUUUUUGUAUAUAUAUAUAAUCGAAUUGAAAAUCUACACGUAUUGGUUUGGUUUAACGCUUUGGGAGGUUAACGAUCUCGGCUCGUAAAAUAAAUAUUUUUGUGAUAAUAACAGAUUAAUUCCCGAUUAAAAAGUAAUUUUUAGCUUCCCGAACUAAUAUUA